rnacentral:rRNA from 1 species
CGCCCACUUGGACUAUACACUGACGCUUAGGCUCGAAAGUGUGGGGAGCAAAUAGGAUUAGAUACCCUAGUAGUCCACACCGUAAACGAUGAUCAUUAAAUGUCGGCCCGAAUGGGUCGGUGUUGUAGCUAACGCAUUAAAUGAUCUGCCUGGGUAGUACAUUCGCAAGAAUGAAACUCAAACGGAAUUGACGGGGACCCGCACAAGUGGUGGAGCAUGUUGCUUAAUUUGACAAUACACGUAGAACCUUACCUAGGUUUGACAUCUAUUGCGAUGCUAUAGAAAUAUAGCGGAGGUUAACAAUAUGACAGGUGGUGCAUGGUUGUCGUCAGCUCGUGUCGUGAGAUGUUGGGUUAAGUCCCGCAACGAGCGCAACCCCUUUCGUUAGUUACUUUAUUUAACGAUACUGCUGCCGCAAGGCAGAGGAAGGUGGGGAUGACGUCAAAUCAUCAUGCCCCUUAUAUCUAGGGCUGCAAACGUGCUACAAUGGCUAAUACAAACUGCUGCGAAACCGUAAGGUGAAGCGAAUCAGAAAAAGUUAGUCUCAGUUCGGAUAGAGGGCUGCAAUUCGCCCUCUUGAAGUUGGAAUCACUAGUAAUCGCGAAUCAGAAAUGUCGCGGGGA